rnacentral:rRNA from 1 species
UACGGAGGAGGCAAGCGUUCUCCGGAAUUAUUGGGCGUAAAGCGUCCGUAGGUGGUUUAGUAAGUCUGCUGUUAAAGCGCGGGGCUUAACUCCGUAUCGGCAGUGGAAACUACUAGACUAGAGUGUGGUAGGGGUAGAGGGAAUUCCCAGUGUAGCGGUGAAAUGCGUAGAUAUUGGGAAGAACACCGGUGGCGAAGGCGCUCUACUGGGCCAUAACUGACACUGAGGGACGAAAGCUAGGGGAGCGAAAGGG